rnacentral:rRNA from 1 species
CGGUCGAUUUAAUUUAAUUCUAGUGGCGGACGGGUGAGUAACGCGUGGGUAACCUGCCUUAUACAGGGGGAUAACAGUCAGAAAUGGCUGCUAAUACCGCAUAAGCGCACAGAGCUGCAUGGCUCGGUGUGAAAAACUCCGGUGGUAUAAGAUGGACCCGCGUUGGAUUAGCUAGUUGGUGGGGUAACGGCCCACCAAGGCGACGAUCCAUAGCCGGCCUGAGAGGGUGAACGGCCACAUUGGGACUGAGACACGGCCCAGACUCCUACGGGAGGCAGCAGUGGGGAAUAUUGCACAAUGGGGGAAACCCUGAUGCAGCGACGCCGCGUGAAGGAAGAAGUAUCUCGGUAUGUAAACUUCUAUCAGCAGGGAAGAUAGUGACGGUACCUGACUAAGAAGCCCCGGCUAACUACGUGCCAGCAGCCGCGGUAAUACGUAGGGGGCAAGCGUUAUCCGGAUUUAUUGGGUUUAAAGGGAGCGUAGGUGGACUGGUAAGUCAGUUGUGAAAGUUUGCGGCUCAACCGUAAAAUUGCAGUUGAUACUGUCA